rnacentral:lncRNA from 1 species
UUUUCGUUUGAAAAGGAGGUUAAGGUGACGACCCGAGCCGUGGGUCGUCUCCAUCACGAAAACCUACGCGGUGAUCAAAAUCCAUCUCGUCGUCAUCUACUAAAGAAAUAACGCCCUCAAUGUAUUAGUAAAAUUCUCCACCGGUGCACAAAAUCGGAUGCGCUGCGAAAUAUCUCGAUGCAUUGGCGGGCUCGAUUUCCUGCUAGAUCCGGUAGACAGGUAAUAUAUGCACUGUAUUAAUCCGUUUAAUUCGUUCCGCAUACACGUAGGUACGGGCGGCUGACCGAUUAUUCUCUGAUUUGGUGAGCGCGCCGUAGAUUCCCUCUCACAGAGGCCGCGGGUGGUGCUGAGCAGACAUAUCUGUUGGUUUUGAUGGUCGUUGCAGCUGGACAUCACGGUGGCUGUGUUGAGCAGGAUGACUCCGGCCGCAAGAGGAAGCGUCGCCUAAUGAAUCGUUAGAGUCCGUCAGAGAUUUGAGCCGAGAUGCGCCACUCUGGAGUAGAAGGUAUAUAUUCCAUCCGUCUUAAAAUAAGUGUCUCGAUCUUAGUACAACUGUGUACUAAAUCUACUUUCUCCGUUACAGUUUACAAGACACAGUUAAAUUUACGUGCAUUUCCAUAAUGGACAAGAUUUAGGACGCAUUGUAUUUACUCCUAACAGCUAAUUAGUACUCUGUUAUACUACUUCUAUAUGCAUGCGUAGUGUGAAUGUUAUUUUUUAGCCCAUCUCACACUCAAUCAAUAACCAAUUAGGUUUCACAGAAUUUUCAAGUACGUCUUCUAAGUCGUGAUGGAGGUAGAAGUACAAAGUUGAGACAUUUCACUACAACAGGACCCCCCCUAUAGCAACGCCUUUUUUCGUAUCUAAAUGUCCAUAUAUGCGUUGCUAAUGUCUUUACCAACACUUUGCGAUGCGUAGCCUUAUCCAGUGUUGCUAGUGCAUCAUGCAACACUUAUACUGCCGUUGGUAAAAGGGAUCGUUGCAAGACUGCAACAAAUAACACAGACUUCUACAACAAUUUUAUAUGUUGGUGUUGACGUACAAGAAUCAAAAUGCCAUUGCUUGGCAACGAAGAAUUUCCAAUGCUUCAAGUGUUGGUACAUAUAUAUAUAGUGUGAAUAAUAAUAAUAUUAUUACAUAUAUAGUGCUAGCAAUUAAAUUAAUUCUCCAUGUAAAUGUGAUAGUUAUAUAUUUCAAGUGAAGUAAAAACAAGACAAUAUACUCACGAGAGGAAGAAAUCAUAUAUUAGAUAAAAAUUGUUGGAUUACAACAAUGGAUAAUAGAUAUUACACGAGGGACAUCAUCCAAAUGUGAUGCACAAUCUAACUAUUUUCUUGACAACAAAACUUAAACUGAAAGCACCCAUCAACAUCCCUACAACUUAUCUAAAACUUAACGGAGCAACAACAUCCGACAGGAGCAUCAUCCCUACACCAUAACUUAAACUAAAACCAUCCAUCAUCAUCAUCAUGAAUCAGAACAUCGACAUCAUCAUUGUAGUAUAUAUAAUUGUGACACCCAUAUACUCAUCCAUUUAUCUUUUGAAUCUACAAACAAGAAAACAAAAUGAACUGUUAGCACACAAUGCAUUAACAUCAUGCUAGUAAUAAAGGCAAGAUAUUAGUCACGUACAAAGGUUGAAGGCCAUGCAAUCUUUGCUUUUUGUGCAUUACCGAGAGUAUUGCAGUUUUUGCUACUUUGUACCAAAUUUUUAGUAUGCACGAGUGCCAUAUCGAGAUGCACUACCCAGAAUUCGUUUCUAAUUUCAGGACCACCAGGUUUAAAUUUAGCAUCACAACUUACAAUUGUAGCUAGAGCUACGUCGUUGUUAUGAUUUUUCAGGCUUUCAAGAAUGCUAAGAAAAAUAAAAGUUACCAUAUGAAAAAACAAAAACAUGACAAGGGAACACAUGAAAUGAAUUUGAGCACUCUUACAAGUAGUUCAUUGGCACCCAUCGAAACCAGCGAACCACUUCGAGCACUCUUAUUGCAUGCAUUAGCACCUUUUGUUGUGUUUUUGGUCUGGAUAACAGUUUGAUAGCAAAGAAGAAGUAAUAAACAAAUAAACAAGGUGGCACUAUAGUUUGAACAAAAUUUGUAUGUGAUUACAAAAAGAUACCAACUUGUUUGCAAUAGAAGUUUUUUCUCCCUGACAUGCACUAACAUUCUCAAGCAAAGUUUGUUUGUUUGGAACAGCUGCAGCUAGCAAGAUGACCAGUAGAUACAUAUUUUGAACACAUUGUAUAUGUUAAUAGAAAUAUACCUUAUGUGCAGCAGAAUAUAUUUCCCCUUGUCAUGCACUGAAAUUCUUGUCCAUUACAUAUCUGCUUCAAAAUGACAAUGACCAAAAAUUCAAAUAAAUAAUGUAAAAGACGAUAUUCUUUGGUCCUACUCGACCUUAUGGCAGUCACUCAAAUAGAUAUGAUGACUAUUAAUUCAGAUUUCAACUCAAACAAUCAUAUAUUGAAGUAAUUUUUGCCAAUACAAUCAACAAAAAUAAGCCUGGCCACAUUUAUUCCUUAUCAAAUAAAAAUAGCAACUCAAGUAACAUCAAGUGAUUCCUAUUUCAUAGUGAAAACGAUGAACUAAUACAUGUAACAAUUACUCUGAAAUGUAAAUUUGCAAGGGGUCCAUUAUUUUGUUCAUCGGGUGUAUGAGAAAAGGAGGAAGUAACAAAAGGAAACUUCAUAUAGUACUUCUUUCGAUGACCCCAUGUUUUUAGUUAGGAAAACGCUUCUUAUCACACGGUUGGUAAGAGCUAUUCGUCAGACCAAUCGCAUGCCAUCGAUUCGUCUAAAAUCUCACGGUCCAGAAUGCAUCCCACUUCGACGCAUUCGCAAAACAGUCAAUCCCGAUUUUCUCGCGACACCCUCUCCCAUAAUCCCUCCCGCAUUAAUCUCAUCUUCAACAAACCCACUCUUCACUCAUCCUCGUCUCCUUCGCCUGCUCCGGUGCCGCCGAACUUGCCGAUCCCCUCGCCGCCCUCACCUCUCCGCCAUGAAUCAGCCUCCGUCCAUGUGCCCGUGAGACACAACGCGCCGUUGCCGCGGUUCACAAUGCGCCGUGGUGCGCUCUUCCGCCAUCCGGCGGCCAUGCCAUUAUUACCCUUCUCCAUUGCCUGCUUUGUAGCGGGGACCCCGUGCAUGCUCCACCAAGAAGCAGCACCAUCUUCCCUCUUCCACCAACCGUGGUGCAUCCUUGUGUGUCCAUGUCCGAUGGCUUAUGUGUGUAAACUUAUGUGUGGUCCUCGCAUGACAGGCGAGGCAGCGCAUGUAGAUGGCAACAUGUGAUGCCCUGAAUGAGGCUCCACCUUCACCCCAUGCUACUGCUAAUUCUACCAAAGUCUUGUACAGAGUGGUUUGCUUCUCAUGCUUCAUUAGUCUCUUGUACAUGUGUUUACUGUACAGAAACUUUCCUUCAAAGAUUGAUGAACCAUUGUUACUUGUUUCUUGGAUAUGUUUAUACUGCAGACACAAUGAGCUUGAGCCCUGUCCAUGAGGACUACGACAAUCCACUCCGACUCACCCCUGCGCGCGCCUGGCACAUCGUCGAUCGGUUUGUUUGUGGAGAUAUGGUGUGGAGCUUACUGACCAUCACAGAAGCAAAUUCUAUAUUCAACAGGGAUGCAUGAUCAUCACCACGGAAGCACUCCCCGUGUUAUUUGAUAAAAUGAUAUAGUUUUUCUUGUUCUUUAUGAUGGAAACAAUUCUAUAUUUGUAUGGAAGCAAUUUUUCUAGUUUGUAAAAAUGGUAGCAUAAUUAUUUGGAAGCAAAGUAUAUAUCUGUGAAAGCAAGGC